ACGUCGCCAUGGAGACAGCGUCGGGCCCGGCCGGCACGCCGCUUCCUGCCGGUGCCUCGCCACUGGGGCCCGGGCGGAAACACGCGAGGCCUCGCCGGCGCUGCCCAUCGCAACGCCGAAGCGGCGAGCGGAGGUUAGGUUUCUCACCGGACGACUGAUGCCGGGGUUCGGCAGGCUGCGCGGUGAGGCCGGCGACGCGGGGCAGCACUGAGCAAAUCAAGGCCAGCCAGAGAUGGCUGUGGAGCAGACAAGAGGAAAGGACUGGUACCAAAUCCUGGGCGCACAGCCAUCAGACAGCCCAGCAGAACUGAAGCAGAAAUAUCAAAGGCUGGCUUUGUUAUAUCACCCAGACAAACAGAAGGCAGAUGUGCCAGCAGGAGAAGUGGAGGAGCGUGUGCAGAGGUUCAUCGAAAUUGAUCAAGCGUGGAAAAUUCUAGGGAAUGAAGAGACAAAAAAAGAGUAUGACCUGCAGCAGCGUGAAGAUAAUCUGACCAAAGAAUGGCCGUUACAUGCACAGAUUUAUCUUCAGGAUAUGUCCUGGAUUGAAGAUGAGCAGUGUUACACCCUUCCAUGCCGAUGCGGUGGGAGUUACUCCGUCUCCAAGAGCGAAAGCAAAGAUGUAUCUUUGGUCUGUUGUGACACAUGUUCCCUUGUUAUUGAGAUCCUGCAGUGAGUGCUGCACACAAGCACACCCAGUUAGGAACUUUCAAAACACUGGACGUGCAGGACAGCAUCUCACAGGACAAACGGGACAACAGGGAUGCUCCGAGAACAAGCUCAGUCUGUCUCAAGACAGGAAGCGUGCCCAUUUACUGACCUAUCUUUAAAGACAUUCUAUUUGUUCUGUUUUCUCUUCAACCAAAUUGCUAUUUAUAAAAAGCUUCCAGAACCCAACACUGAGUUCUGUACACCUGGACUAUAUCUAAACAACCUUUCUUUCCCAGCAAACAACAGAGUGGCUUCUUUCAGUCUCUGUCUUUCAUCAACUGCAGCUCAGGCCUUCCCUCUUAAUGUCUGGGAUACGUGCAUCAGGCGUGUCAGAGCGUAAAUCCCUGCCUACUCGCACUAGAAUCUGUAUGCGGAGCUGCUGACCAGGAAUGCUUAAGCCUUUUUGAAACCUGCUGCUGCUGUCUUCUUCCACAGUCACCUGUGUAAAGGACUGCCUUGUUCUGCUGGAGCUGGAAAAGUAUGGUUGGUUUGUCCAUUGUUGGCAGACGCAGAGGAGUCCGGCUAUGUUAGCAGGACAAAAGGGUCAGUUUGCAGUAAGUUGGGAGAUGGCUUCCACUCGGGUCUUCUUCCUUCUACCUAAUAAGUCAGGUAAGUAGGUCCAAAGCACAUUGGUACUUCUCAGCCGAGUGCACCCACCUCUCUUUUUAUGCAGUAGUUGCAAAUCGAGCUUGCAGUAAUGAUGAAUUAAAACCUGCAACCCGCAUGGCAUCUUCAAGUUCUCUGUGGUACUGUUUUCCUCAUGUCAGAGCUAACAGAAGUGAUUGAUGUCUCCAUCACAAAACAACACUUUGGUCCAUCAUCACCUGCCCUUCACAGAAAGUAUACCAGUACGUAGAAACAGUGCUGCUACCAAGCCAGCCUUGAGGCUGAAAACAGAUUCACCUUCAUCAUAAAAAAAUUUGUACAGACAGAUCCUUUUACAAAACACACAAUAUGAUCCAAUUAAAGAGCAAUGAGUUUGAACCGCAACAUCAGAGAGGAGUAAAAUGUGAACGUAAUUUAAAUCUUAAAAAGCAUUUUAACUGUUGCAUCGUAAAGGAAUUCUUAGUUCAAACAUAAACUUACUGAGGAUGUGUAGUAGCAAUGCAGAGCUAGCAUCAUCAGUCAUAUUAAUUUAAAGGCUAACCUAGGAAAAAGGCAAAGGAAGCUACCCAAGUGAUUAUUAAAAAAAAUUACCACUAAGUCAUUUUUUAAAGAAGAAUCUGUCCAGAUACAAAUGACCUGCAAAGCACAUGCAGCUACGCAGGCCAACAAUUUCUGACAGGACUCUGAGAAUGUGCUGCCAUUCCUAUUUCCCUCAAGAUUUGUGAGAUGAAGUCAGUGCAGACUGUCCAGCAGCAAUAGUUAGGGUAGCUGGACGUCCAUCUGCUUAUGAGCAGUGCACUCACUGUGCCCACACCUUACACAAGGCUCUGCUUUUCAGGUGCAAUGCAAACAUCUCAUGCCCAGCAACUUCCAGAAUUACAGACCACCAAACUACUGUCAUUUUGAGAGACUGUCUAUCUCAGCAAUUGCACAAGAAGAGAAUCAUGAAUUGCCACAAAAAGAAACUUUUUUAAUGAAAUAAGGCAACAAACUCUCAUUAACAUUUCACAUUUCUAAGAGCACAUCACUUCUUGUAACAUGCUACCGUUUCAUACACAGGAGCCUACAGCUGCUGUUCUACUUAAUGGCCUGCUUCUAGAUCUUCCCAUCUUCCAUGCACCCAAAGUUCAAAAAAGCUUAAAAAGAAAAAAAAUUAAAGAAAAAAAGCACAAAAAACUUUUGCCACCUUUGGUAUACCACUUACUACUUCUAACAUAACUAAUAAUUACUAAUUAAUUACCUAAAUAAGAUGUUCAUAGUUUUCAUUUCAGAUAGAACGUCUGCAAUGAAGUAUGUACCUAAAUCCUGAAUUUCACCUUUUCUGGUAACUUUUGUAGUUUCCCAUUGAAGUAUGACAGGGCCAUACACCUCUAAAUCUGUACUGUCACAAUGUAGGAUUAAUCUAGAGAUACUGCAGUACAAUAGCUUUGUACGAUGCCUGUCCAUCACCCAGGCACCUCACUACGACCCAGAAUUAAGAUGAGGAGUACAGGAAUCAUACAGAUUACUUGAAAAUGUUAAACCAAACACAGGUGACAUGAUACACAUGUAAGCAAAGGAAAAAAGAAUUGGCUGCAACACUUGCACUUUUGGUUUUACACACUGACGGGCUGCUGCUCCUUUUUUUGACAGUGGGAAAGCUGCUCACUUGACAACACACGACGCUGCAUUUUGGUGUCUACAGGUGAUGGACUGUAAGAAAUACCAGUUACCAUCGCUACGCAGCAGCACAUUGUGAAUACAGUAAUGUUUUCACAAGUAUUGCCAAGAACGCCAAAAGCAUUCAGCCCAGCUGGAUGGUAUUUUAGACGUCGCACACGGGCCAGCUCUAAGAAGCCCGGGUCCCACAAGCCUGACAACUGAAUUUUCACACAACUGGUGGCUUGCAUGACAAAGCAGCAAUCCCACAGCAGCACAGGUCCAUCCAAACCACGCUCCCUCUGAUCUCCCGCAGCCUGUCUUUGCCUCGGUAGCCCCAGUGCCUCUGGUUUUGUGCAGAUUAUCUGAGGAUUUAUUUUCAAGGAACAACAGCUCCAAGGGAGAACCGGUUAUCUGAGGUGCAGCUUAUAUGCAUGAGAAUACGGACGCUGAUUAGACACAUGCCUCUUCCUCUUCUCCCUCCCAGGGCUGUGAGGGCCCUACUACAGGAGCAGAUAGAGCAGAAGGGCAAAAUAAUCAUUCAGAGGAGCCCAGCUUUUAUUGGUGGCUUAUAGCGUUUCAGUUCGGAUAAACCUCACUCACUGCAGAACCAGGGGAUGAAACAGACACGGUGUUUACUGCAACACCAGAAAACCAAGACACUGCAAGUAAGAGA